GGAAGCCUGCCUGUGCUUUCAAUGUGAUUAUCAAGGAGGAGGAGGAGGAGGAAGAAAAGAAAGAAGUUGAGGGAGAGGAGAGUGACGUGAAAUAAAGGUGAAGUGAGAAUACAUAUAGUUAUUGAAAUUCACACCUAUCCUUGCAAUUGCAUCUUCUGUGACGGCAUGGUCAUGGGCAGCACCAUUUGAGUUUUAAAAAUCAGUAAGGGUUUUCCUGCACAACUGUAAAAUCAGACUGUAGCCUUGUCACAGCCAGGUCAGCAGUCGGGGUAAUUCCGUAACGUAAUAGUAUCAUCCGUAUUUAGAUGAGAUCGAGACAAGAUCGUUAACAACUAUAUUGGUUGCUGUAAUAAUGCUAUUCCCAGGCUUAAAGCCUGAUUGGUUUACGUUAACAAUACAUGUCUCAUUGUAAACCAGGUUGCCAGUCCGGGCCUAAGCCUGUGUUCCUGGCCUUGACCCAAGCAUCAUUUAUUUAAUGAAUUAUUUCUGAACAGGAUACCACCUCCUAAUGUGCUACAGUGUGUACAGUCUGAACAAGAUACCUCCUCCUAAUGUACUGCAGUGUGUACAGUCUGAACAGGUACAAAACCAAGGUUGGUGAUUUACUGCUACCUGCAGUUAUGGAAUGUUAUCUCAGGACUAUAAAUUCAUUGGUUGACUCCUCCUCCUGACCUCCUCCUGACCUGGAUGGAAUUAUACGACCUGGAUAUAGUGCACUACAUUUGACCAUGAUUUUUGGAAUGAGAUGUUGGACGAGCAGGUGUCACACUACAUCGGUUGCCACUACAAACGUAUCUUCCUUUAUCUACUACCAAACAUAGAAACGCUCCAUUUUCACAUCUGCUGAUAUUGGGUUGGUGCUUGAGGUUAUGAAUAUGUAGUAGAAUGUUUUUGAAAUGUCCCUUUAAAAGGUACGUAUGCCCAUGUACACGACUAACAUUUAAAUGUAAAACAGUUGACAGUAGCAUAAUCUAUAUUUGACUUGAGCUGAAUACUGGGGCUGAGUCUACAUAUAGUAUAUACUGGGGCUGAGUCUACAUAUAGUAUAUACUGGGGCUGAGUCUAUAUGUAGUAUAUACUGGGGGUUGAGUCUAUAUAUAGUAUAUACUGGGGGCUGAGUCUAUAUAUAUUAUAUACUGGGGCUGAGUCGAUAUAGUAUAUACUGGGGGCUGAAUGUCCCAAAUGGCGCGCUAUUCACCCUGUAGUGCACUACUUUCGACUAUGGGCCCUAUUCUGUAGUGCACUACAUUUGACUAUGGGCCCUAUUCUGUAGUGCACUACUUUUGACUAUGGGCCCUAUUCUGUAGUGCACUGCAUUUGACCAUGGGCCCAAUUCAGUUGUGGAUAUUUUUUUAUACCUGAUUAAACUCAGUAGAAGGGCUGGUUUGUAUUGACAUAAAAUGUAUUGUUAUGUCAUGAUGGAACCGGUGUUCCUUUCAGGGUUUGGAACCUGAAAGUAUUUUCCAAUUAUUUUGUUCUGAACAGAACUGUUAUUGUUUUUUUGUUCCAUUCCAGCAAAGUAAAGUUCUGAAACAUGACACACUGGGCAUCUUGUUGUUAUGACAUGUAUUAUCUGUUAUGACAUGUAUUAUCUGUUAUGACAUGUAUUAUCUGAAUUAGG
ensembl:lncRNA